UACGUAGGGGGCGAGCGUUGUCCGGAUUCAUUGGGCGUAAAGCGCUUUAAGGCGGUUCGGUAAGUCGGGUGUGAAACCUCCAGGCUCAACCUGGAGACGCCACUCGAUACUGCUGUGACUAGAGUUCGGUAGGGGAUCACGGAAUUCCUGGUGUAGCGGUGAAAUGCGCAGAUAUCAGGAGGAACACCGGUGGCGAAGGCGGUGAUCUGGGCCGACACUGACGCUGUAGAGCGAAAGCGGGGGGAGCGAACAGG
rnacentral:rRNA from 1 species